rnacentral:rRNA from 1 species
UACGUAGGCGGAAAAUUAAGUCAGUAGUGAAAUCCUGCAGCUUAACUGUAGAACUGUUAUUGAUACUGGUUUUCUUGAAUAUAGUUGAGGUAGGCGGAAUGUGUAAUGUAGCGGUGAAAUGCUUAGAUAUUACACAGAACACCGAUUGCGAAGGCAGCUUACUAAGCUAUCACUGACGCUGAGGCACGAAAGCGUGGGGAGCGAACAGGAUUAGAUACCCUGGUAGUCC